rnacentral:misc_RNA from 1 species
GAUGAAGAACGUAGCAAAAUGCGAUAAGUAGUGUGAAUUGCAGAAUUCAGUGAAUCAUCGAGUCUUUGAACGCACAUUGCGCCCCCUGGUAUUCCGGGGGGCAUGCCUGUCCGAGCGUCAUUGCUGCCCUCAAGCACGGCUUGUGUGUUGGGCCCCGUCCUCCGAUCCCGGGGGACGGGCCCGAAAGGCAGCGGCGGCACCGCGUCCGGUCCUCGAGCGUAUGGGGCUUUGUCACCCGCUCUGUAGGCCCGGCCGGCGCUUGCCGAUCAACCCAAAUUUUUAUCCAGGUUGACCUCGGAUCAGGUAGGGAUACCCGCUGAACUUAAGCAUAUCAAUAAGCGGAGGA